UACGUAGGGUGCGAGCGUUGUCCGGAAUUAUUGGGCGUAAAGAGCUCGUAGCGGUGUGUCGCGUCGGCCGUGAAAACCUGGGGCUUAACUCUGGGCGUGCGGUCGAUACGGGCAUCACUAGAGUUCGGCAGGGGAGACUGGAAUUCCUGGUGUAGCGGUGAAAUGCGCAGAUAUCAGGAGGAACACCGAUGGCGAAGGCAGGUCUCUGGGCAUUAACUGACGCUGAGGCACGAAGGCCAGGGGAGCAAACGGG
rnacentral:rRNA from 1 species